rnacentral:rRNA from 1 species
GGUCAAGUUAUUAAGGGCGCAGGGCGGAUGCCUUGGCACUAAGAGCCGAUGAAGGACGCGAUAAGCUGCGAUAAGCUUCGGGGAGUUGCACGUAAACUUUGAUCCGAAGAUUUCCGAAUGAGGAAACUCACUUAGAGUAAUGUCUAAGUAUCAUUAAGUGAAUACAUAGCUUAGUGAGGGGAACCCGGGGAACUGAAACA